GAUUAAGCCAUGCAUGUGUAAGUACGAGCAAUCUGUAUGCUCUGACCGUGGACGGCUCAUUAUAUCAGCUAUUAUUUGUUGGAUCUGUACACCCAGUUUAAUUGGAUAACUGUGGUAAUUCUAGAGCUAAUACAUGAUUCCUAUAGUCCCCGACUCCUUGUGUCAAAACUGGGAGGAAGGGUGCUUUUAUUAUUGAACUCAAACUGGUUUGCGCGUCUUUCGGGACGUUUAAGCAAAAACCCCUAUUAUGAUGACUCAGAAUAACUUCUUGCUGAGCGCACGGCCUUCGCGUCGGCGCCGCUUCUUUCAAGUGUCUGCCUUAUCAGCUUUCGAUUGUAAGUUACACGCUUACAAUGGCUAUAACGGGUAACGGGGAAUCAGGGUUCGAUUCCGGAGAGGGAGCCUGAGAAACGGCUACCACUUCCAAGGAAGGCAGCAGGCACGCAAAUUACCCACUCCCGGCUCGGGGAGGUAGUGACGAAAAAUAACGAUGCAAGACUCAUCUGAGCCUAUGUAAUCGGAAUGAGAACACUUUAAAUCCUUUAUCUAGUAUCCAUUGGAGGGCAAGUCUGGUGCCAGCAGCCGCGGUAAUUCCAGCUCCAAUAGCAUAUACCAAUGUUGCUGCGGUUAAAAAGCUCGUAGUUGGGUUUCGAGAAGAGCUUUGUGAGGUCCGCCUUACCGAGAGGUGGCGGACUUUAAUACAAAUGCCUCUGGAAAUUGGGACGCGCGUASCCUCCCUCGUCCGGGCGGCCGUCACCUCUGUUUCGGGUGGGGUUUCGUCCCCUCGCGAUUCAAGUGUAUGCCGUUUUCCGGCGUGCGGAGUGCGCCGCCCCUGUGCCUUCCCCUUCGGGUUUGCUCUUGAUCGAGUGUCCCGGGUGGUCGGCGUGUUUACUUUGAAUAAAUUAGAGUGCUCAAAACAGGAAGAAUAUGACGCCUGUAUAGAGUUGCAUGGAAUAAUGGAACAGGACCCGGGCUCCGACCGUUUUGUCCAGUUUGGAGGAGCCUGGGUAAUGAUUAAAAGAGACUGCCGGGGGCAUCUGUACUGCAGCGCGAGAGGUGAAAUUCUAUGACCGUUGCAUGACAAACAACAGCGAAAGCAUUUGCCAAGAAUGUCUUCAU
rnacentral:rRNA from 1 species